ensembl:miRNA
UAUUAGGUUGCUGCAAAAGUAAUUGCGGUUUUUGCUACUUUCGUUGGCAAAAACUGUAAUUACUUUUGCACCAAACUAAUA